UACGUAGGGUGCGAGCGUUGUCCGGAAUUACUGGGCGUAAAGAGCUCGUAGGUGGUUUGUCGCGUUGGUCGUGAAAUCUCGCGGCUUAACUGUGAGCGUGCGGGCGAUACGGGCAGACUAGAGUACUGCAGGGGAGACUGGAAUUCCUGGUGUAGCGGUGGAAUGCGCAGAUAUCAGGAGGAACACCGGUGGCGAAGGCGGGUCGCUGGGCAGUAACUGACGCUGAGGAGCGAAAGCGUGGGGAGCGAACAGG
rnacentral:rRNA from 1 species